GGCGCCUGCGUGCGGGAGGUGGGGGGGCGCUACGCGCGCGCGCACGUACGUCAGUGUGCGGGUAGAGCCCGUCCACUUCCCCUUCUCUGCCCCGCUUCCCUUGCGGGUCGCUGCCGGGCGGCGUGGGUCUGGGCAGCACAGGGAGGGAGGCGGGGAGGGAGCGAGGCUGCGCCAGAUCUUCGUGCCGCAGCGGCCGCAGCAGCACAACUUCUGAAGGUUUGGAGAAGACAGCGAGAGAACCACCAAGAAGGCUACAGUAGUAUUGGGUGAAGAAGGGACUGAACACAUUUCUUAAGGUGAAACCAGAGAUCUUUUGCCUCAUUUGGUCUGCUCUUG